GAUGAAGAACGUAGCGAAAUGCGAUAAGUAAUGUGAAUUGCAGAAUUCAGUGAAUCAUCGAAUCUUUGAACGCACCUUGCGCUCCUUGGUAUUCCGAGGAGCAUGCCUGUUUGAGUGUCAUUAAAUUCUCAACCUCACCAACUUUGUUGUGUGCAGGCUUGGAUGUGGGGGUUGCAGGUCCACUCUCGUGGUCUGCUCCUCUGAAAUGUAUUAGUGGGUUGUGCCCCUAAUCUAUUGGUGUGAUAAUUAUCUACGCCGUGGAUUGGGUUGGUUACUUGAAGACCUGCUUCUAACCGUCCCUUGGACAACUUUUGACAAUUUUGACCUCAAAUCAGGCAAGACUACCCGCUGAACUUAAGCAUAUCAAUAAGCGGAAGA
rnacentral:misc_RNA from 1 species